GUACACAAAAAUGCACAUAUUGUGAGCUCGAUGAGUAGGGCGGGACACGUGGUAUCCUGUCUGAAUAUGGGGGGACCAUCCUCCAAGGCUAAAUACUCCUGACUGACCGAUAGUGAACCAGUACCGUGAGGGAAAGGCGAAAAGAACCCCGGCGAGGGGAGUGAAAAAGAACCUGAAACCGUGUACGUACAAGCAGUGGGAGCCUCUUUAUGGGGUGACUGCGUACCUUUUGUAUAAUGGGUCAGCGACUUAUAUUCUGUAGCAAGGUUAACCGAAUAGGGGAGCCGAAGGGAAACCGAGUCUUAACUGGGCGUUAAGUUGCAGGGUAUAGACCCGAAACCCGGUGAUCUAGCCAUGGGCAGGUUGAAGGUUGGGUAACACUAACUGGAGGACCGAACCGACUAAUGUUGAAAAAUUAGCGGAUGACUUGUGGCUGGGGGUGAAAGGCCAAUCAAACCGGGAGAUAGCUGGUUCUCCCCGAAAGCUAUUUAGGUAGCGCCUCGUGAAUUCAUCUCCGGGGGUAGAGCACUGUUUCGGCAAGGGGGUCAUCCCGACUUACCAACCCGAUGCAAACUGCGAAUACCGGAGAAUGUUAUCACGGGAGACACACGGCGGGUGCUAACGUCCGUCGUGAAGAGGGAAACAACCCAGACCGCCAGCUAAGGUCCCAAAGUCAUGGUUAAGUGGGAAACGAUGUGGGAAGGCCCAGACAGCCAGGAUGUUGGCUUAGAAGCAGCCAUCAUUUAAAGAAAGCGUAAUAGCUCACUGGUCGAGUCGGCCUGCGCGGAAGAUGUAACGGGGCUAAACCAUGCACCGAAGCUGCGGCAGCGACACUAUGUGUUGUUGGGUAGGGGAGCGUUCUGUAAGCCUGUGAAGGUGGCCUGUGAGGGUUGCUGGAGGUAUCAGAAGUGCGAAUGCUGACAUAAGUAACGAUAAAGCGGGUGAAAAGCCCGCUCGCCGGAAGACCAAGGGUUCCUGUCCAACGUUAAUCGGGGCAGGGUGAGUCGACCCCUAAGGCGAGGCCGAAAGGCGUAGUCGAUGGGAAACAGGUUAAUAUUCCUGUACUUGGUGUUACUGCGAAGGGGGGACGGAGAAGGCUAUGUUGGCCGGGCGACGGUUGUCCCGGUUUAAGCGUGUAGGCUGGUUUUCCAGGCAAAUCCGGAAAACCAAGGCUGAGGCGUGAUGACGAGGCACUACGGUGCUGAAGCGACAAAUGCCCUGCUUCCAGGAAAAGCCUCUAAGCAUCAGGUAACAUCAAAUCGUACCCCAAACCGACACAGGUGGUCAGGUAGAGAAUACCAAGGCGCUUGAGAGAACUCGGGUGAAGGAACUAGGCAAAAUGGUGCCGUAACUUCGGGAGAAGGCACGCUGAUAUGUAGGUGAAGCGACUUGCUCGUGGAGCUGAAAUCAGUCGAAGAUACCAGCUGGCUGCAACUGUUUAUUAAAAACACAGCACUGUGCAAACACGAAAGUGGACGUAUACGGUGUGACGCCUGCCCGGUGCCGGAAGGUUAAUUGAUGGGGUUAGCGGUAACGCGAAGCUCUUGAUCGAAGCCCCGGUAAACGGCGGCCGUAACUAUAACGGUCCUAAGGUAGCGAAAUUCCUUGUCGGGUAAGUUCCGACCUGCACGAAUGGCGUAAUGAUGGCCAGGCUGUCUCCACCCGAGACUCAGUGAAAUUGAACUCGCUGUGAAGAUGCAGUGUACCCGCGGCAAGACGGAAAGACCCCGUGAACCUUUACUAUAGCUUGACACUGAACAUUGAGCCUUGAUGUGUAGGAUAGGUGGGAGGCUUUGAAGUGUGGACGCCAGUCUGCAUGGAGCCGACCUUGAAAUACCACCCUUUAAUGUUUGAUGUUCUAACGUUGGCCCGUAAUCCGGGUUGCGGACAGUGUCUGGUGGGUAGUUUGACUGGGGCGGUCUCCUCCUAAAGAGUAACGGAGGAGCACGAAGGUUGGCUAAUCCUGGUCGGACAUCAGGAGGUUAGUGCAAUGGCAUAAGCCAGCUUGACUGCGAGCGUGACGGCGCGAGCAGGUGCGAAAGCAGGUCAUAGUGAUCCGGUGGUUCUGAAUGGAAGGGCCAUCGCUCAACGGAUAAAAGGUACUCCGGGGAUAACAGGCUGAUACCGCCCAAGAGUUCAUAUCGACGGCGGUGUUUGGCACCUCGAUGUCGGCUCAUCACAUCCUGGGGCUGAAGUAGGUCCCAAGGGUAUGGCUGUUCGCCAUUUAAAGUGGUACGCGAGCUGGGUUUAGAACGUCGUGAGACAGUUCGGUCCCUAUCUGCCGUGGGCGCUGGAGAACUGAGGGGGGCUGCUCCUAGUACGAGAGGACCGGAGUGGACGCAUCACUGGUGUUCGGGUUGUCAUGCCAAUGGCACUGCCCGGUAGCUAAAUGCGGAAGAGAUAAGUGCUGAAAGCAUCUAAGCACGAAACUUGCCCCGAGAUGAGUUCUCCCUGACUCC
rnacentral:rRNA from 1 species